rnacentral:tRNA from 1 species
AAGUAAGAAACAAAAUUUGUGUUUAGUUUCGACCUAAAAUUUUGGCUUUUAGCCCUUACUUA